rnacentral:lncRNA from 1 species
AAAUGCUUAAUUACUUAAGUAAUUAAAACACUGCCGUAAAUGAGUUGGAUAAUACUUAAAACUAAGAUUUCAAUAAUUGUUUUUCAAAGUUUUCACUUGCACAGAUAUAAUUUCGUUUCACGUGGAUAAUAUCUGGCAGAUAUAGUCAAACGAAUGAACGUGAAAACGACGG